GUGGUUGUGGCUCAGUGGUAGAGCGCUCACUUGGCACAUGUGAGGCACUGGGUUCAAUUCUCAGCACCACA
rnacentral:tRNA from 1 species